GCCCGCACAAGCGGUGGAGCAUGUGGUUUAAUUCGAUGCAACGCGAAGAACCUUACCUGGUCUUGACAUCCACAGAACUUUCCAGAGAUGGAUUUGUGCCUUCGGGAACUGUGAGACAGGUGCUGCAUGGCUGUCGUCAGCUCGUGUUGUGAAAUGUUGGGUUAAGUCCCGCAACGAGCGCAACCCUUAUCCUUUGUUGCCAGCGAUUAGGUCGGGAACUCAAAGGAGACUGCCAGUGAUAAACUGGAGGAAGGUGGGGAUGACGUCAAGUCAUCAUGGCCCUUACGACCAGGGCUACACACGUGCUACAAUGGCGCAUACAAAGAGAAGCGACCUCGCGAGAGCAAGCGGACCUCAUAAAGUGCGUCGUAGUCCGGAUUGGAGUCUGCAACUCGACUCCAUGAAGUCGGAAUCGCUAGUAAUCGUGGAUCAGAAUGCCACGGUGAAUACGUUCCCGGGCCUUGUACACACCGCCCGUCACACCAUGGGAGUGGGUUGCAAAAGAAGUAGGUAGCUUAACCUUCGGGAGGGCGCUUACCACUUUGUGAUUCAUGACUGGGGUGAAGUCGUAACAAGGUAACCGUAGGGGAACCUGCGGUUGGAUCACCUCCUUACCUUAAAGAA
rnacentral:rRNA from 1 species